rnacentral:lncRNA from 1 species
CAUUUGUUUUUGGUGGUUACGAUUUGAGCAAAGCGAAGUUCUCUGUUUCCACCCAAAACCAUGUUCUCCUUGGUGAUUUCAGUGUUCAAAACGCUUCUCUUGUCAAAGAAUUUUCAGUAAAUAUAACUUCAGAUAGCCUUGUUAUUACCUUCACCCCUUCCAACAAUUCAUUUGCAUUCUUAAAUGCCAUAGAAGUUGUUUCAGUCCCCGACCAACUGAUCACUGAUGAUGCCUACACUGGGUCAGUGAAAUUCCAGGGUUUGACGACUCAGGCUUUGGAGACAUCUUGGAGGGUGAAUAUGGGUGGACCAACAGUGUCCUUUGAGAAUGAUACCCUGUGGAGAACUUGGGUUCCUGAUCAAAGUUUUCUAGUAAAUGCGAACCUUGCCAAAGAUGUCUCAAAUAUUGCAGCUGUUAACUAUGAUGCGGGUUCGGCAUUGGCAACCAAGGAUAUUGCUCCACAAACCGUCUAUGGAACCCUCACUGAGAUGAAAUCCGCGGAUGAUCCCAACAGCAAUUUCAAUGUGAGCUGGGAGUUCACAGUGGAUCCAGGAUUUCAGUACCUUGUUCGGUUUCACUUUUGUGAUGUAGUAAGUAAAUCUCUCUAUCAGCUGUACUUCAAUGUAUAUCUUGACUCUUUGAUUGUUGCUCGAGAUCUUGAUCUGAGUACUUUAGCAACUAAUAAGUUGGCUGUGCCAUAUUAUACGGAUUAUGUCACAACAUCUGCUGCUGUCAGCAAUAAGCUUCGUAUUAGUAUUGGCCCUUCCCCUUUAAAUAAUGCUUAUCCCAAUGCCAUUCUAAAUGGGCUUGAGAUUAUGAAAUUGAACAAUUCAGCAGGCAGCCUCAGUGGAGCAAACUCUCUAGUUCCUUCUUCAAAUUCAAGUUCAAAAGGUAACGUCGGAGUAAUAGUAGGUGCCAGCAUUGGGUCAUUUAUUGCAGUGGUAUUGGCUGCGAUUCUCUUUGUUCUUUGCAGAAGGAAAAGACUGGCAGACCAGGGCCAUUCUAAGACAUGGCUUCCCUUUUCCAUUAAUGGAACCAAUUCUCACACCAUGGGAAGUAAAUACUCAUAUGGAACAACUGCUAGUGCUGCUUCUAACUAUAGCUAUCGUUUUCCUUUUGGGGUUGUACAAGAGGCUACAAAUAACUUUGAUGAGAGUUGGGUUAUUGGAAUUGGUGGUUUUGGGAAGGUAUACAAAGGAGUCUUAAAUGAUGGAACUAAAGUGGCUGUCAAGAGGGGAAAUCCACGGUCUCAACAGGGACUUGCAGAGUUCAGGACUGAAAUUGAGAUGCUAUCUCAAUUCCGUCACCGCCAUCUUGUCUCAUUGAUUGGGUAUUGUGAUGACAAGAGUGAGAUGAUUCUGAUAUAUGAAUAUAUGGAGAACGGAACCCUGAAGAGUCAUCUCUAUGGCUCAGGUUACCCCAGCUUAAGUUGGAAGCAAAGGCUUGAAGUAUGCAUUGGAUCAGCUAGAGGACUUCACUACCUUCACACUGGCUAUGCAAAAGCAGUUAUUCAUCGUGAUGUGAAAUCUGCAAAUAUUCUGCUUGAUGAAAACCUCAUGGCCAAGGUUGCUGAUUUUGGGCUUUCCAAGACGGGGCCUGAAAUCGAUCAAACCCAUGUCAGUACAGCAGUAAAAGGGAGUUUUGGAUACCUUGAUCCUGAAUAUUUUAGAAGGCAACAACUGACAGAGAAAUCAGAUGUGUAUUCAUUUGGGGUGGUUUUGUUUGAGGUCCUUUGUGCAAGACCUGUUAUAGAUCCGUCCCUUCCAAGGGAAAUGGUGAACUUGGCUGAAUGGGCAAUGAAAUGGCAGAAGAAGGGGCAGUUGGAGCAAAUAAUAGAUUCUACCCUUGCAGGAAAAAUCAGACCAGAUUCUCUCAGGAAAUUUGGAGAAACCGCCGAGAAAUGCUUGGCUGACUAUGGUGUUGACAGGCCCUCCAUGGGAGAUGUGUUGUGGAAUCUAGAGUAUGCCCUUCAACUUCAAGAGGCAGAAAUUCCAGGUGAUGCUGAAGAAAAUAGUACCAAUAUGAUUGGCGAGCUAUCCCCGCAAGUCAACAACUUCAAUAAUGUUGACGCAAAUGAUUCUGCUGCACAGUUUGAAGUCUCAAGUGUGGAUGAUCUUUCAGGUGUUUCUAUGAGUAGAGUAUUCUCACAGCUGGUGAAGUCUGAGGGUAGGUGAUUUUUCUGAGAGAGUUCUAUGAGUUUUAGCUUCUCUUCUGGUAACACUGCUUUUGUGGAGUUUCCUGAUGAAACUUGAUGAAGCAUUCUGAGUUCUCCUUUUGUACAGAAGGGGUGGUGGUUUGAGUGUGUUUUUUAGAUUCAUAAGGAUUUUUAUGUAACGUGUUUAUUUCUUAUUGAUAUUCCACACCAUAUGAAGCAAAAGUUCUGGGGUGGGAUGGUUUUUGUACGCUCUCCUUCUCACAGCUAUCUAUCACGAGGCAUUCGUAUGAUGAAGUGAUUGUGAGAAGAAGGCAUAUACGUGUCCCACUCAAGACUUUCUCCAUAUGGAAGCUGGUAAAAGGUUUAUUUAAUUUUUACUACUGUAUUGGUAUUUUAGUGUCAUGAGUGAAUUGAACAGGAUGUUUGGUUGAUAAAUGGAGAAAGGAAAAUGGAAUACCAGAACCAACGACAAAAUGGAAACUAAAAUAAAGUAAGAGAGAGUAGAGUAGCUUCAGUUUUUCUAGCCGAAAUGGUCAAAACUGUCCAUUUGUCUGGACGAAAAAAUUGAACAUUGCGUUGAAUUGCAUUGAAUUCUUAAAUAGUGUUGUUAUUUCCACUCCCUGUCCUAUUUCCCAACCUAUCUUAUUUUUUUAUCCAUCAUAUAAAUUUGAAAAAUCCAAAUUCUAUUUUUCCACUAACCAUAAUUCCUAAAAUACUCAUUCAUUAUUAAUUCAAGCAAAACCUAUAUAAUAUUUAUAAAUUAAAAAAACGUAAAAAAUAAUCCACCCCAACCCCACCUCCCCAAUGCUGCCACUUGUACCUAUGGAAAACAGCCCUCUCUCUGUAAAGGUUGCAUAAAAGUGAUAAUUGGAAUUAGAUCGAAAUUGCAGUGAAAGAAGAGUGCAUAGAAAGACAACCAAUUGGAAGCACAAUUUGGAAUUGCAGUCAGUUUGUGGUCUGAUAUCCAAGAAAGACACUGAAGAUAUAUACUCUGUCUAACCCACAAUCAAAGAGCUAUUGCCAGCAACCUUCUUCCCACCAGAUUAGCAAUUAAGGUACCAUUUAACUAAUUUCUCCAACCAUUUUUGCAUAUUUGUUGUGGGCUUGUUAGAUGGCAUGAAAUGUUUGCUGGGGUAAAUAGAACCCCCCAUAUAACGAAGAAGAAGUUAAAGAAAAGCUUUGCUGGAAAAGAAUUCAAUCCCAUUUCUUCUAUUUUUUAUCCCAUGUUUUUCAAAUUCGAGGAAAACGCCGUUGGCGUUGGCCUUCUGAAAAUAUUCUGUUUAAAAAAAAGGGUAAAUGGUCAUUUUACAAAAGUAAAUUUGUCUUUAAAAUUUUGAACAUAAAGUGAGUGAGGAAAUAGGAUAGAUGAGUGGAAAUAGCAGCACUCUUAGAGUAUUUUAUUUUAAGAAAACCUUUCGGACCUAAUAUAUCAUAACUACCUCUCUAUAAUUGUUCGAUCAGUUUUGUUUCUUUCAACUAGCUGGCCUCUCUUAAAUGGUUUUCGUUGUUGUAAAAUAUACAGUUUUCAUGGGUUUUUUUUUCUUUACUUUCUAGUAAGUUUGAAGGAGACCUGAAAGUUGAUAGUUCAUUCCAAAGCCAUGGAGGAGGCUAUCCUGUGCACACUCCAACAAGUAGAAGAUGUCAAAAAAGCGUGUUUAAAUAAAGUUGGCUAGUUUUGCACAUUUUCUUACUCUGCUAUUAUUCGAGAGCUGCUGAACAUGAUGAUGCGGAAUAUAGCUGCUUCUUCUUCUUCUUCUUGUUAUUGCUGGAGCAGCAGAGGUAUGAAUUGUCUUCACUCUAUAGAGGUAAAGACCUUCUGACUAGGUGGAUGAUAACACCAGUAUCCUUUCUGAUGAGGUGCAUAGCCAAUAAAAACACACUUUUCUGCUCGGGGAUCCAAUUUGCUUCGUUGGUGAUCAUGUAAGUGGACAAAUACAACACAGCCGAAAAUUCGGGGUUCUAGGUUUGGGGUGGGAGGUGUUUGGAUAUUGUGGUGAAGUGUUUGAAGUGGUGUUUGGAAAUUUAGGAUACUAGAGGGAAUUCGAUUGAUAAGGUAUAUUGCAGAGACGACGGCUUCGCCCCAAAAAUAUCUUGGCAUAUUGGCACCAAAGAGAGAGGCACGAACGACUUCCAAUAAGUGUAUGUUCUUUCUUUCAGCCACCCCAUUCUGUUGGGGAGUGUAAGGGCAUGAGCGUUGAUGUAUGAUGCCAUGAUCUUGUAAGAACUGGUUGUAAGAACUGUUUAAGAUCAUGGUUGAGAAAUUCUCCGUCAUUAUCAAAACGAAGAACCUGAAUUCUGGCAUGAAACUGAGUCUCCACCAUUUGAUAAAACUGUGAAACCUAGAAUUGACUUCCCCUUUAGCUUUGAGAAGGGAAACCCAAGUCAUUCGUGUACAAUCAUCUAUAAACGUGACAAACCAUCGCGCCCUUGAGGGAGUGACAAUUUUAGCAGAUCCCCAAACAUUAGAAUGAACGAGAGAAAAAGGAACCAAACUCUUAUUUGAACUUAAUGGGAACGGGACACGAUGACUCUUAGCCAAUUCACACGUAUCAUACUGAAAGCUGUAAACAUCAAGAUCGGAAAAUAAUGAUGGAAACAACUUCUUAAGAUAACCGAACGAGGCAUGCCCAAGACGUUUAUGCUAUAACCAAAUUUUGUCUCUCUCCUCCUCAGAACGAGUUCCACUGGUUGUGAAAGCUUGACCAACCUUGACCUCACUAUCCGAUGCCCAAUCCAAGUAGUAGAGAUUGCCCCGCCGAGUACCACAACCAAUCGUCUUUCCUGUGAGGAUGUCCUGAAAAACACAAUGAUUCGGCCAAAAUGUUACAGUACACCCCAAAGUAGUAGUAAGUUGUGCAACAGAUAACAAGUUAUGAUUUAAGGAUGCAACAAGUAAUACAGAAAGAUAGAAAGCCCUCCUCAACCACAGGGGAUGGGGUAGCAUUAGCAUUAGACAUCACUGACAGAGUGGAUUAUUUUUGACUAAUAAGUUGGCCAGGAUCAAAUGUCAUAUGAUCCGUAGCACCCGAGUCGAUAAUCCAUGCGGAUUUUUGAAAGGACGUAUGAAAAGUAGAACCUUUGGUGGUGGCGAUAGAAGCAUGAGUUAGGGUAGCUGGGUUAGCAGAAUUGACCGCAUGCUUCUGUGAGUCCACAAUAAAGGGGAGAAUCGUAGGGGUUCCUGACAUCGCAGCGGAAGUAAGAUGUGAUAUGAAAAUGUGAAGAAUUGUGUUUGGAGGAAUUUGAUUUGAAGAGUUUGAUGUAUGAAUUUGAUGGAGGACUUAGAUUUGAGAGGUAUGUGUAUAAGAUUUGAGGGUAUGUGUUUAGGGAUUUUGAUAAGAGGAUUUGAGGGAUUUGGAUUUGGGGAAAAAUAUGAGGAAUUUGAUUUAGAGUUUUGGAUUUGAAUAUGAGAAAUUUGAGAUAAGGGUUUAGAGACAACCUAGGAUCGAUUGCUCUGAUACCAUGCUACAAUAUGAAUAUGGUUUGAAUUAAUGUAUUAGGUUGAGUUUUAUUCUUCUCCAUAAGGAGGUAUAUAUAGGAGUUUACAUGAGGGUUUUAUAAGGAAUUAGAUAUAGUAAAGAAUUAGGAAAGUAUCUCCUAAUUGUACAAUGAUUUAUCACUUAUAUAAAAAUAGGAAAGUAAAUCCCUUAAUUAAUCAAGGAAGUAAAUCUCCUUGAUUAAUUAGGAGACUCACGUCAACAGUUUGUUCUUAAAAGAAUGGGCCUUUCGUAAACUUUAAUUUUUGUGAUUACCAAUCCUUAAACGUUGUUUAGUAGGUUUUAAUUAAUUAAUUUUUUUGGUUGAAAAAUUUCCAAAUACACACAAUAUUCAACAACUUGAUCAGUGUAUCAAGCUCUUCAUGUCAUAAAAACAUGUAUACCGAGGGUUUGAAUUCCUCACUUUCCGUACUCAUCAACUAAUUCACCAGUGUUAAUAAUUUGUUCAUAGAAUUCGACUUAAAAUAUAUAUACAUAUACAGUUCCUUAAAAAAAAAAAUAUUCAAAUUCAGUCUUACUCCUAAGUGGAUUGAUGAUAAAUUUUUGAAAUAGAAUCCAAACAUUUGAAAAUAAAAAGAAAACCAGUCAUAGAAAAAUUGUUGAAGCAAGUUUAGAAAGUUUUAAGAAAUUUAAACCAACGAAACAUGUUAUUAAUGGCCCAUUCACCAACUUGAUCAGUGUAUCAAGCUCUUCAUGUCAUAAAAACAUGUAUACCAAGGGUUCAAAUUUCUCACUUUCCGUACUCAUCAACUAAUUCACUAGUGUUAAAGUUUAAUUAUUUGUUCAUAGAAUUCGACUUAAAUUAUAUAUGCAUAUACAGUUCCUUAAAAAAAAAAUAUUCAAAUUCAGUCUUACUCCUAAGUGGAUUGAUGAUAAAUUUUUGAAAUAGAAUCCAAACAUUUAAAAAAUAAAAAGAAAACCAGUCAUAGAAAAAUUGUUGAAGCAAGUUUAGAAAGUUUUAAGAAAUUUAAACCAACGAAACAUGUUAAUAGUGGCCUAUGCAGGUCUCGAACCUGCGACCUUCGCGUUAUUAGCACGACGCUCUAACCAACUGCGCUAAUAGGCCAAUUGAUCUUUCCUAAUUCCAAUAUGUUUUUAAAUUAUAGACUCUCUUUGAUACAUAGAUCUCAUUUAAGAAUUUUUCAUGUCUCCACUCCCAUUGCGUUUUGUUUUUGUUUUUAUUUUAUUAUUAUUUUUAAAAUUUGUACUUCUUUUGUGAAAUUGUGUUUGGUUGCUUGCAUAAUUCAGGAAGAAUGUAAGCAUUUCGUUUUGAUUUUUUUUUUUGUUUGUUUUUCUUUGGGCGUAGGUAGAUAUAAUUGCGAUUGAUGUCUCAGACAAGUUACCUUUUCGUUUGAAGAUGCCCAUGGUUAAAGCUGUAAUUGAAGUUUUUUUUUUUUUUUGGUCGAAAGGAUACUUCCAUACAAAGCCCCAAAAGAGGCAACAGAAACACAAAGGGGCUAAAACAGCCACCAGGGAAAACAGCAUGGCACACCUGUAACCAAACUAAAUUACAGAGCAGCAGCCAAAGGAAACAGAGCGAAACAAAACCGUAGCCAUUGCCCAGCAAGACCCUUAUGGGGGAGCAGGUAGUCCAUCCCCUGAGAGGACAGAGACCAAGGAGGGUGGGGGGGUAUUAACCCAAUUGCAAACGCACAACCUCUUUUUGGCUAGCUUGGCGGCAGCAUCAGCAGCUCCGUUAGCUUCACGACGAAUCCAAUUCUAGUCACAUUGGAUGAAGGACGCUUCCAGGCUGCGGAAUUCCGCGAGGAAAAGGUAGAAUCUCCAGUUACCAGAUGCUGAACCCUUCUUUACACAAGAAACUAGCUCAGAGUAGUCAGUCUCCACAACCACAUUCUGCACGUGAAGGGAGGAGGCAAAAGAGAGGCCCAUGAUCGCUGCACUAGCUUCACAUUCAGCCGCAGACGAACAAUUGCAUGGUUGACUAGCGGCACCGAUGAAGGAGCCGUUAUGAUCGCGAAUAACCGCUCCAAUACCCCCCACACCCGUUUUAGCCUCCCAAGCCCCAUCAAUAUUGAUCUUUACAAAAGGGAAGGGAGGAGGAGUCCAGUGUGGUCUAAUUGGUGCAUGCAGAGUAGCUUGGGGGGCACUGGAAGUCAUGUUCCUGACCCGCACAACUUCCUCUAAACCUUUCAUGGUUCGUGAGAGAACCAGGGGAGGAGAGGGCCGGAUAUCAUUGAAAAUCGCCUUACAUCGAGCCUUCCAAAUUUCCCAAGAGCAGAACAUGAAGAGGGAAAUUCCCCAGUCCCUUUGAUCUCCAUCGGCAAAAGAGCUUCUUAGGAAGCUAGAAAGCCAAGAAUCCAGUGUGGUAAUGGAUGCCAGGUUCGGAGCGUAACCAAAAGGGCAGCCAAACCAUACUGCCCGCGUCCAAGAACAAAGCAGUAACAGGUGCUCCACAGUCUCAGGAAACAAACCACACAAGCGGCACGUAGGAGAACGCGCUAACUUUCUUCCAAAGAGGUUAGCACACGUAGGAAUGGAGUUUGUUAACGCACGCCACAUAAAGUUCCUGAUUUUGGGAGUGAUGUGAGCCCUCCAGAUAACUUUCCACACGUCGGAAUUCACUGCAUGGGAGGAAGAAGCUCGAUCACAGGGGUCAGGAGGCGAGACGUUGAUGGCAUGGUAGUACCCGGAUUUAACAGUAUAGUCACCAUUCUUUACCGCCGGCCACACUAGAGGGUCACGAGUAGCCAGGGAGCCGAUAGGAGUAGAUCGGAUUAACAUAGCCUCGCUAGGAGGAAUAAAGGGCUCAAUGUGUGAGAUGUUCCAGGACCUGUUCCCCACAUCGAUGAGAUCGGCCACCAGCAGGGGGGUGAAGCGGUUACUGGAGGGGAGGGGGGAGAUUUUUCCGGAGCCAUACCCCAUUAACCAGCGGUCCUUCCACACACUCACUGAACGGCCGUUUCCAAUUUGCCAGUAAGCUCCCUUCUCGAUGAUAUCUCGACCGACUAGGAGGCUGCUCAAAGCCCAUGACGCACGCCCUCCCUUCUUAGCAUCGAGGAAGGAACACUCGGGGAAGUAGCGGGCCUUUAAAAUCCUAGCCCAAAGAGCAUUCGGGUUGCGCAUGAUUCGCCAACAUUGCUUGGCAAGUAGGGACCGGUUGAAAGCCUGUAAAUCGAGAAAUCCCAUGCCCCCUCCGCUUUGGGUCUGCAGAGUUUCUUCCAAGAGUGCCAAUGGAUUUUGCCCUGGUUACCAUCAUGGCCCCACCAGAAUCUCGCCAAAUCAGUGUUUAUUGAAUUGCAUAUAGUGGCUGGCAGCAAGAAGCAAGACAUGGGGUGGGCCGGGAUAGCUGCAGCCACCGAUUUGAUAAGGACCUCCCUGACCGCUUGAGAUAAUAGCUUUAGCUUCCACCCAGCAAUCUUCGAAUUUAUUCUGUCCCGAACAUAGGCCAAGGCCUCCACCUUAGAGCGGCCCUAGAAAGUAGGGAGACCCAGAUAAGGACCCGGGUCAUCGGUAGCAGGGACGCCAAGGAUGAGGCCGAACUGAUUCCUAGUCCCAGUAUCAGUGUUGGGAGAGAAGUACAGACUGGAUUUGUUAAAAUUCACCUCCUGACCCGACGCCGAGCAGUAGCAUUCGAUAAUGGACUUAAGAGCCGAGCAGUUCGGAGGAGUAGCUUGUAGAAAAAACAGAGAGUCGUCUGCAAAGAAUAGGUGGGAUAAUUCCGGACCACCCCUGCUUAAUUUAAUGCCCCUAAGCAUCCCAGUAUCAGUAGAAUUGAUAAUAUUUAGAGAAAGAACCUCGGAGACAAGAAGAAAAAGAUAGGGAGAUAAGGGAUCUCCUUGUCUCAGGCCCCUCGAUGGGGAAAAGGGACUGCCAGGGGAACCAUUCAAUACCAGAGAGAAAGUGAUAGUUUUGACACAUAGCAUGACCAGCUCCACCCAACGGUUGUCGAAGCUGAACUUACAAAGAGUGGCCUCAAGGAAAUCCCAUUCGACCCGGUCGUAUGCCUUAUUCAUGUCCAGUUUCAGUCCCAGCUCAAAGGAUUUCUUGGAAGACUUAAGACGGAGAUAAUGGAAAGCCUCGUGGGCCAAUAAAAUAUUGUCUUGUAUCUGCCGUCCCGGGACAAAGGCAUUCUGAUGCUGACUUAUCAGCAUAGGGAGAAGGGUCUUGAGACGAUUUGCCAGUAGUUUAGACAGAAUCUUAUACGAGUUGUUGCAUAAACUAAUAGGUCGAAAAUGGUUUACCGACGUUGGCUUGGGAAUCUUUGGGAUGAGGACAAUAUGAGUGUGAUUUAGGAGCUCCAAUCUGCUAUUGCCUAAGAAAAAAUCUGUAACCAAGUUAUUAACAAAAUUUUGAAUAAUUUCCCAGAAGCGAUCAUAGAAGAGGCCAGGGAAGCCAUCCGGACCAGGCGCUUUCAAGGAACCGAGCUGUUUGACUGCAGUUCGGACUUCCUCCAUCGAGAAGGGAUCGGUUAACCUUUUGUUUUGGGCUUCGGUGAUGCUAGCAUGAACGCAAUUUAGAAUACCUCCCCAGUUUCUAGGACCCCCAGACUUGAACAGGUUACCAAAGAAAAUGCCAAACUCCUCCCUGAUCGCUUGGUCUCCACUUAUGCAAUUUCCUUCCGAUUUCAAUAAGGUUUCUAUUUUGUUUCGUUGUCUGCGUUGUAGGGUUGUGGUAUGGAAAAACUUCGUGUUUGCGUCACCCGCCGACAACCAGUUCAACCUCGAGCGCUGUUUCCAGUAAGUUUCCUCCCUGCUCCACAAGACGGACAUUUCGUCCCAAAUGGCUGAUUCCUGGUGUCGAUAAUUUUCCUCAAGUGGCCCCGACUGGAGAUUACUCAGACUUUUCAUCAAGAGGUUUAUGCGAGACAGGUUGUUUGGAAAUUUUUCUUUGCUCCAUUUCUGGAGCUCCUCUCUACAAACACCAAGAUUAGCCGACAGAGCAGCAAAAGAAUCCCCAACAAUGUCAUUCUUCCAGCCCCUCUGGAUGAUGGUUCCACAAUCGUGUUCAUCAGCCCAGUAAGCUUCAAACUUAAAACCUCCUGCUCGCCUCUGAAUUUUUGGAGCAAAGUAAAGCACCAGAGGGGAGUGGUCAGAGCCAACCCUGGGCUCCACAUGCACACACAAGUCCGGCCACAAAAAGAGCCAUUGGUCAUUGAUAAGCCCACGGUCCAGUUUCAUUCGAAUGAGUGAGACUGGGUCAUGUUGAUUCUCCCAAGUGUAGAAUUGGCUCGUCGAUCUUAAUUCCAGCAAUCCAUUAGUGUCCAUAAAGGAUCGAAGAUAUCGAGUACGGCCCCAAGGCCAAGGUAUGCCGCCUUCUUUUUCGUCGUUUCCUAAUAUCUCAUUCAUAUCUCCGAUACAGAGCCACGGGGGGGAGUCGACCAUAGCAAAGUUUGCCAAGUUUUCCCAAAAGGAUGCUUUUUCCUCCCGAUAUGGGGGGGCCAUACACCCAAGAGAUUCUGUAUUGGGUGCCCUUCUCCCUGCAAUUCACGAUCGUAUCCACCAUAUUCUUGUUCGAUGUCAAGAUUUCGACCUCCACUUAUGGUUUCCACCAGAGGGCCAAACCUCCUGCUAACCCCACAGGAUCAACAUAAAUACCCUUAUAAUAACCACACUGUCGCCUGAGUGAAGUCACUCUAUGGCAGUUCUGUUUUGUCUCCAUAAGAAAUACCAUAGAGGGGACGUGGGAGCGAAUGAGCUCCCUAAGCUUCUGGACUGUCAAGGCACGCCCCAGGCCCUGACAGUUCCAAGCAAGGUGGCUCAUUUAGGACCUGUGGCUGCUCUGGGCCAGCCACCACAGCCCUGGAGGUGGGAUUGCCCCUCCACAUUUUUCUCCGGUUCUUGGGUAGUAGAUGCAUCAUCGUUCACAGUGAGCUCAUCAAUAAAUUCCACCCUUAUUUCUCUGAAAUUCCCCUGGUUUAGGUCCAUAGUGUCGGGAAUAUCCUCCCAAUAUCUCCCGCUUCUCCCCGUUGCUCAUUUUCCUCGUCCCCUAUUUCCCUUACCUCUUCCUCUUCCACGGUUCCAGUUGCCGCCGACCCGAGUAGGGACCGCCACCAGACUAGUAGAAUCGACAACUGGGUUGUCGUGAUAAUGGAGAAUUCAAACUUUACUCGUUCUGAGUCCCUCCUCGUAGGGGUGAGAGAGUGCACGUCUUUUUUUUGAGAUGGGUGGGAGAGUAUCCUGUUUGAAUGUAUAUGGUUCUUCGGGUGAUGAUAUAAUAAGCUGGCCCCUAGAGUCAGAUGGCAAAGGGCUCUUCCCUUUUUCUUUAUGUGCACUUGGGCCGCAAGGAGUCCGGUCCAUCCACACCAUAGGUGUGGACCGGUCCCUUGGAUGCAUGGGUGUUGGGCCAGUCACGCAUAAGGCCUUGGGGCCCCUUACAGUGCUCUUGGAAGAAUCCCGCUCCUCCUCUAGCUGGCAUUUGGAGGGUUGGGCCUGGCCCAUAUUCGGGUUCCAUCCCCUAUGUGUAAGCGCUACAACCAUCGCCCGUUCAUAGGCAUUUGUGCUGGGAAAGUCAGCGGGCAACAACCUUUGUUUCAAAACCUCGGAGCUAGGUGUCUCACGAUACAGAAGGGACAGAGAUUUUGAAAUGCAUUCGUUAAGGUGGGCAGAGCCUGUAGUCUCAGAGGUGUCAGAUGGCAAAGCAGACCUAGGAUCAGCGUGCACAGUAGGAGAGGUGUGCAGGGGCGCAGCAUCAGAGUUGUCACCAUCGAAAGAUAGGGGCAGGUCAACUGACAUCGAGGUCAACGGUUGACUCAUGGCCUCCACCGAGCACGUUGUCGUCACGUGGCAACUCCAUGCGCUGCGGGUGGGCAAUGGUCUCCUCCGGCCUGUAAGAUUCCGCCUUCCCGUUGAUGAUGGAGGAACCACCGGGGGCAGGCGUCUCUUCAUCCACGGUCCGUACCAUGGGUUCUCCGACAAGGUUGGGCUGCUCUCAGGACUUCCUCUGCAAGCAUUCUCGCAGUGCCCCAGUAAACCACAAAUAUAGCAAAAGUCUCCAAGGCCUUCAUAGCAAUACUCCACCUGGAAAGAUUGGUGGGAAGUUCUGGGGAGCCAGAAUCCCGUCGGGAAAGGUUUGCGUGAGUCGAUGAGCACCUUUACUCGUAGGUAGCCCCUGGUUAUGGCCUUGCUCUUUAUCGGAUCUUCCACUUCAAUAACUUCACCAAUUUCUUCCCCGAUGGUUUUGGCAUUUUUUGCAUUCAUCUUCUCCAAGGUGAGACCCGAAAUCUGGACCCAAUACGGGAUAAGAUGCACCAGAACCUCCUCGAUGUUCAGCUGGGGGGGCCAGGCCACCACGUUGAAGCAGAAGUUCAUUAUGUUCUAGGGAGCCCCCUCCAGAAUAAGUGUGGCCACCUCCCUAGAGGAGGUGAUUGUGAAAAUGUUCCGUUUAUAGUGAGAAAUGGAGAUAGCGCCCAAUCUUCCCCAUGCUGAUCUCAGGGCCCCAUUAAUCCCACCAAUAUUUGGCAGCACGUCUGCAAUAAUCGCUCCCACCAGAAUACAUUCCCUAUUAACGUCGUCCAAGUCAAAGGAAUCCUCCAACCGUGAGGCCAGGGAGUCGGCUGUGGGGUGGACAUGAGUCAUUGAGAAAGAAGCUCGGACAGCAAGAAGCGGUGUGGGGCUGGGACACUUUGUCAACAGCCAGCAGACAGAGAGGAAAAACACCUGACGGAAGGGACACCAGUAGGGUGUAAGCUGAAGAGUUAAGGGGUGAGGAAGAGCUACCAAAAAGGUAGAGCCAAACAGAUUUUCCUACCACUUGGGUAGAGCUCGCUGCAAUUGAAGUUUGAUCUCAGAGAUUUUGUUUGCUUCCUUAUUUCAAUUUAUUUAAUUACAUGGUAAGAAUUUAAAUUGAUUGGCUAUACGCUAAUAUCAUUGCCGAUGAUCAAGCAAGAAAGCAAAUAAUAACCAAUGCUAAGGUGAGGAUUUGUAAAGUUAAUUGGGAAAUAGCUUAAAAUGACACCCAUUUCAUAAUUUUAAUUAAAAAUACCACCCCUUCCCAAUUUUUGUACAACUAUCACCUAUAAAUAUAAAAUUAUUGUCCACUUAUUGCUGAUUUUUCACAAGUUCAGAAAUUUUGUUCUCUCUUAGCUCACACAGCUCUCUCUCUCUCUCUCUGGCACAUCUCUCUUUCUCUUUGGUAUCUGUCUAUCACAGCGCUCUGUGUCUCUCUUGGCUCUCUCUCUGUCUAGCACAACUCUCUGUCUCUUUCUUUGCUCUCUUUCUCAUAGCGCAGCUGUUUCUCGCUCUAGCUUCGUUAUGUCUCUUUCUCCCCUAUUCGAUCUCUUGCUCUCUGUUUGGAAUUGCGAACCCCUCCCUUUAGCUAUGUCUUCUGAAUAGCUGCUUGCAACCUUGAAGCUCUAGUGGAUUGCCGACCUCGAAAAGGUAGUGUUGAUGGUUAUUUUCUUAAUAUCAGUGGGAUUAUGUGAAAUGGGUUAUAGUUUGAUUGUUUGGGUUUGUGUUAAAUUCGUUUUGGCUUUAAUUUCUUUGGGUUAGGUUUUGUUGAAUAUUCAUGCUCAUUCAUCUGGGUUUGUACCAAUUGCAUUUAGAUUGGUCUGGAUAUGUGAAUCUUGAAACUUGGGAUUUUUCAUUUGAUGUAGUAGAUCUGUAUAGUGUGAUUCUGAUGUGUUACUGGUGUACUGCUGUUGUGUUCCUCUUAUUUUACAGUCGUAUUGCUGUUAUAUUGCCAUUAUAUUGCUGCUAUAUUGCUGUUAUAUUGUGGUUAUAUUGCUAUUGUAUUGUAUGGUUAUUGUGGUUAUAUUGUGUUAAUGAAAUGUUGUUUUGUCAUGGUCAGAAAUGGAGACAAUUGUUAUUCUCGUGUGCUACAAUGGAAAAUGGGUCACCUCGAAGAAGAUGUGCAAAUACGAACGGGGUGACUCAAAAGGCUUAAUAGUUCCACGGACCAUCAAAUUUGCUGAACUGUUGGACCGUGUGCAUCAGAUUGGUAAUACAAACAGCAGGGAAGACAAGGUUUGCUUAAAAUUCUCAGUUUUGGUGGCCUCGAAUGAGUGGAAGCACAUAAAGAUUGAGGACUAUGAUGAUGUCAAUUUUUUUAUGAAGUACAAUUCUGAGGUAACACCUUCAAAACUAGCUCUCUUACUCGUGAGUAUAGAAGAUAAAGGACUGACAAAUGAUGUAGUUCAUAGUAUGCAUAUCACGACAGAUAGUAGUCGGUUGCCAUUGUUGAAAACAAUGAAGUAACUUGGAAUAAUACAAAUGUCAUUGAUGUGGGUGGUGAAGUAGGGAAAGAUUUUAUGGAUAUGAUUGAUUUUAGCGAGGUGGAGGAGAUGCAUGGUGGUGAUAAUGAUACUGAAAGAAAUGAAGUGUCAGUGUACUCUGCCCCUCCUAAUUUGGGCUGCUUGAACACAGCUGCCCAGUUGCCAAUAAUGCGUUUAGGAGGAGAAUCUGAACCCACUCGUCAACAUUAUUGGAGUCAAAUGGGUGAAUAAAAUCGGUACAAUGCAGCCGGUGUAAAUGAUGAAGAAGUAUAUUUGGACAGCGGGUUUUCACGAAGUGAUUGGAAUCUGAAAAUUUCAGUUGGGCAAAUUUUCUCCAGUAAGAAAGCAUUGUUGACGGAGUUACGGUUGACGGCAUUAAGAGGCCACUUUGAAUUUAAGGUGCAAUUCUCUUGUAAAAAUAAUAUUCCAUUGCGCAAUGUAUCUUAGACAAUAUGAUUUGUGUUGCUUUGGUACGUCAUGUAAACUCUACUUUUAUUUGUGGUGAGUUUCGUGUUAUGUUGAAUGGGAAUUCUUUUAAAUUUGCAUAAUUUGGGUUGCAUUGCUACAGCAUGCUGUAUUGCUGACAGAUUGCUAUUAUAUUGAACUUUUAUUGUACUGGUAUUGCUUCCAGAUUGCUAUUAUAAUUUGAGUGCGAAAUUAAAGGGACUGGAAUGUAAUUCCAAAUGGAUCCAAAACAUUAAAGUUCUUAGAAUUCCUAUAUUACAUAGUUACUGUGAUACUCCGACUAUACCUUCUUUUCUGAUUACAAAUUCGGCCGAUGCAUAGGCCAGAUGUGGGGCAAAUACAAGGUGAAAUGUCCUAUGUGUUUGACUACAUAUACUUGUUGAAGGAGCAUUACGAAUGUUAACCUCAAUAGAUUGCUCAUGUCUUGUCAAGAACAAUCUUGAAUUUAUGCAAUGUGCCAAGCCAGUCCCAAAGCUGGACUCACCCGUCUGCCUGAUGUGUCCAGGGACUCCAAGUUUCCCAACCUCCCCCCAUUCACUUUAUCAUGUGGCCCAAUAAAAUCCACCACUUGGUUGGUGACAACCACCGCCAACCCAAACUUAUUUGCUAAACCCUUCAAUGUCCCAGAUAUGUUGAAGAAGAAAUUCAGUCCGUUGCAAUCUAGACAAUAACAAGCAAUAAACAAUCAGAACUUAUCAACAGCCUAUUAUAGGAUAUUAAGUGAAAAAUAAACAAAAAAUACAGAGCAUAAACAAAACCCCAACUAUUUACAGCUGACCUACUAAUUCAAUAGCUCAAAGCCACGUCUCAAGACACCCAGUACUCUACCACUCCUGCAUAAUAUAAUAUCUAAAGACACAUCUCAACACACUAGAUAAUCAUGAGACAGCUUCAGCUAGAAUGGGAAUGUCCGGUAGCACAAGCCUAAUUGAGAACAAUUCAAGACUAACGAUAGAAAUCUAUCUGACUAGAAAGAGUUUUAAAAAACAAGAAGACAUCGGGAAAGAAUUGAUUGACUUCAAGGUAUAAUGUAAUGGAACAUCCUAUGAAUUAGUGGCAACCACAAUAAUGACUCCACUAUGGCCCUCAUUUCAAAUGUAAGAAAAUGAAUGAAAUUGGCACCAUCCCUUCAGUUUUUUCUUAACAAAAUAAGAGGUCUGUAUGUAUUCUCUGUUUUAUCGAUAUCAAAGAUAAAUUAAUAAAUAAACCAUCAAAACUGUAUAAAAUGUUUGUAAGACAUGUACAAUUACAAAAUUAUAAGUUCUCCUCAGAAACAAAGUUCUCUAAGUAUCCAUACACAAACAAGAAAAACAAAAGCUUAAAGAAUUAGCUUAUAGCAAAAUCAAUGUUCCAAUUUCUCUAAACCACACCUUCUGGUGGUAGGUUCCCAUCUUCACUCAUUUCCCGUUUUCUUUUAAGCAGACAAUGAUCAAGCACAAAAGAGCAAACUUUUAAAGAACUCAUAUCACACCACAUGUAGUUCUAAAGAAAACUUAUCCAUAUCCAAUAUGCAAGCCCUAAAGUUAGUAAACAAAAUUAUAAAAAAAAUGUCAAAUUAACAAGCAUUAUUCUCAAACAAAAAGUAUGAUAUGGUUGGGAGUUUACAAGUUCAAAAUGAUAUACACAGGUUAAUUGUCUUAGACUUUAGAUAUCAUCUUCAACAAAGAAAAUACAUACCGAUUAGACUUGUAAGAAGGUUAAAUGCAAUGGUCAUAAAGACCCAUAGUAAGCCACCAAAUACCAAUCAAUAACUGCUACAAAAACCAUAAUAAAACCAUAAUAAACUAAAAAUACAACAGCACUAAAAUGCCAACACAACAUCACUACAUUAGCAAUACACUAGCAAAAAAAACAACAAUACGACAUCAAUAGCAACAGCAAAACAACAGCAGUGCAAGCAUCAGUCCACAAAGAACAAACCCAUUCACUGUUUCAAACAAGGAAUCAUCAUACUAAGAUCAUUUCAGAGAAACCCCAAAACCAAUUUAAGUGAAACCCCUAAACCAAUUUCAGAGAAACCUAUAAACCUUCAACCAAUUUCGAACAAACCCCUGAACCAAUUUCAUAGAAAUGCAUAAACCCUAAACCAACUUCAGAGAAACCCUUAAACUGUAAGAAAAUGACGAUGAACAGUACUUGUUCAAGGUGAACGAUGGAGUUGAGCUUCGAUGAACAGAUUUCGCUGGGAGAGGAAGAGAGAAGAGAGAGUCAAACUGAGCGACGAGAGAUUGAGAGCUGAGCGACGAGAGAGUGAGAGCUGAUCGACAAGAGAUGAGAGAGUGAGAGCAAAGCGACGAGAGAGUGAAGAGAAACUAAGAGACGGAGCCAAGAGAGAGAGCUGAGAGAGAACUUCAGCAAAAGUGAUAUGUGUGCAAUAAGGGGACAAUAAAUAUAUAUUUAUAGGUUAUAGUUCCAAAUUUUUUUAAAAAGGGUGGUAUUUUCAGUUACAAUUAUAAAAAUGGUGUCAUUUAGAGCUAUUUCCCAAGUUAAUUAAAUAUUAAUCAGAUGGGUCCCCAAUACCUGAAGCAGUAGGCAAUGAUGGUUUGUAAUUUCUUUCCCGAAGAUAUUAUGACAUGAGUUAAAGUUAAAUUUUACAAGAACAUUGUGAUAUAGUGAAUUUUACACUACACAACGUUGUAGGGUCAGAACAGCCAGUACUUUACAAAAUUUACUACUGGACUUGUAUGUCGGUUGCAUUGCAUAUCUUGUAGAAGUAUGCCAAUGCUCAACCAGAAUAAUAAUAAGCUACAAUUCUCUAUGAAGUCUGUUAUAAUCAUUUAGCGUCCUUCGAGAACAUUCAUAACUCUAGCUGGGUGACAACUUUUCAGUUAUUUUGAGAAUUUAAAAUGAUCCUUGUAAUGAAGUUUUGCAAUUUUUUUGUAAUCAAGGAAUGCAUGGACAAUGUCCUUGUUUCAUGGAGCUCAAAGAAGCAGAAGACUGUUUCUAGAUCAAGCUCGGAAGCCGAAUAUUGUCAGCUUGCAUAUACAGUCGCCGAAUUAUUAUGGUUGCGUUCCUUGUUUUGCGAUUUGUCUCUUUCGUUGCCACCACCAAUUAUCUGGUGUGACAAUGUAUCUUCUAUUUCAUUGGCGUCAAAUCCGAUUUUUCAUUCCUGAACGAAACAUUUGGAGGUUGAUUAUCAUUAUGUUUAGGAAAAAGUUAGGGGUGACCUGGUUGUAAACUAUGUUUGUUCUCAAGACUAGACUACGGAUUUAUUUACCAAAGGUCUCAGUUCAGCUUGUGGGGAAUGUUAGACCAAGUUCAAGUCAAGAGCAAAUUGAUAUUGAUAAGUCAGUUAUGAAUUUGAAUUUGAAUAGUUGAUAUGCCGAGGUAGUUCCUUCUCAUUCGAAUGUCACGGCCUGCAUAUUGAAGGCUCAACCCAAUAAUUAUUAGGCCAACCUAGAGAAUCCAUUUAUGAAGGUCAAGCCCCACAAGAGAAGCUCAAGGCCCGGCCCGUCAGAUAGAUGAUUCUAGAUCUCUUAGCCCACAUGUCUAGAUUCAAUGUACAGUAGUAGGUAGAUUUCGGAUCAUUAGAUUGUUUCGAUCCUAGCCCUUCGUUGUGGUGGUAGGUGAGCUAGGAUCUAUAUAUAAGGAGGAUGUCUCAUUGUAUAUCUUCACCUCUUAACUUGUAAAGCAUUGAGUAGCAAUACAAGCAUAUAUUCCCCCAAAUUUUCUUGAGCGUUCUUGAGUUCUUAUCAUUAUUGCUCUUGUUCUUGUGUUCUUGCUUGAUUCAAUCUUAUUUUGUAGGAAGGAAGGCUGACUUAGCUUGUUCGAGAAGCGAUCAAGUCUAAGGCCGCACGGAAGAAAGACUUUGAAAAAGUCAUCCCGUGAUAGUUGGUAUCAGAGCGAAAGCUCGAAUCAUUCGAAGAAGCAUGUCGAAGAGCGGAACCGAUGGGGAGGUUGAUAUGUCCAAGGUCACCUUAGCAAACCUUUUGAGGUACACACUGAUGCAUUAGAUGUUGCUAUUGGUGGUGUACUCAUGCAGGAUGGACACCUAUUGGCUUUCGAGAGCAGGAAGCUCAAUGACACUGAGCAGAGGUAUACCAUUCAAGAGAAGGAGAUGACAGCCGUAGUGCACUGCUUGAGGAGUUGGAGGCAAUACUUGCUUGGUUCUCGGUUCGUGGUCAAUACUAACAAUGUUGCCACAAGUUACUUUUAGUCCCAACAGAAGUUGUCACCUAAACAGGCUAGGUGACAAGAUUUCUUGGCCGAGUUCAACUACAAAUUGAAGUACAAGCAAGGGAAGACGAAUGUCACCGCAGAUGCCUUAUGUUUGAAGGCCGCACUAGCAGCUGUUGUACAACCUCAAAGUUAUCUCAUGAUACGAGAUGGCUUGUUGCAUGACCCCCAAGCCAAAAUUCUGUUAGAGCUUGUCAAAUAUGGGAAGAUAAGAAGAUUUGGGCUAGAUGAUGGUGUUCUUUAUGCAACAGGGAAGAGAAUCUAUGUUCCAAGAUAGGACAAUCUGAGGCCAGAGCUAAAGUGGGCGGGACAUCCAGACACUCAUCGAACUUUAGCAUUGAUGAGUGAAGCUUACUACUGGUCACAGAUGCGGGAAGAUGUAGACUCGUUCGUGCGGACUUGCCUGGUAUGCCGACAAGACAAGACAUUGCAGAAGCAGCCGGUGGGUUGCUAAAGUCACUUCUUGUUCCAACCAGACCAUGGGAGAGUUUGUCCGUGGACUUCAUCAUGAGUCUAUCCAAGUCGGAAGGGUAUGACUCAAUUUUGGUGGUGGUCAACAGGUUCACCGAGUAUGCUGGUGAAGUAUUGGGGGAUCCCCAAGAGUGACCAUGACUCUCACUUCACUGGUAAACUUUGGACGGAGCUCUUCAGGCUACUUGGCUCACAAUUAAACUUCUUUACCAGCUUUUACCCACAGACAGAUGGUCAGACUUAUUGGAGUUAUACUUGAGGCACUAUGUAAGUGCCAACCAACGAGAUUGGGCAAAGUUGUUGGAUGUUGCUCAGUUCUCGUACAACUUGCAGCGAUUGGAGUAGACAGGGUCAAGUCUUUUUGAGUUGGCAACGGGACAAUAACCUGUGACACCGAACACAGUGGUGUUAGGCUACACGGGAAGUAGCCCUGUUGCAUACAAGAGGGCCAAGGACUGACAUGUGACUAAUGAGCUAGCUCGGGCUUAAUUGGAGAAGGAAACUCGGAAGCAUCGGCGAGAUGUUGUGUUCAAACUAGGUGAUUUGGUUUUUGUGAAGCUCAGCCCCUCUCAACACAAGUCUACUAGAAAGGUACACAAGGCGUUGCUGAGGAGAUAUGAGGGUCCGUUUUCUAUCCUUUGAACAGUGGGAAGAGGUGCUUACCGUGUAGAACUACCACGAGGAGUCAAGUCAUGGGGAGUCUCAACGAGCUCCGCUUUUAAUGGUGACUUCAUUUGACAGAGAGGUUAUGUGCAUCAUGGCCAAGCGUGAGGUGCGAAGCAAAGGUAUACCGAGGUACUUUGAGUACUUUGUCAAAUGGAAGGGCCUGCCAGAGUUCGAAGAUAAUUGGGAGAAAGAGGAGUCCUUGUGGCAGUUCAAGGACCACAUCGAAGCAUUAGAACGAGAAGGAACUGCCUUGGCGACGAGGACGUCACCAAAUUAGGUGGGGGAGAAUGUCACUACCCGCAUGUUGAAGGCUCAACCGAACAACUAUUGGGCCAACCUAGAGGAUCAAUUUGUGAAGGUCAAGCCCCAGAAGAGAAGGUUAAGGCCCGGCCCGUUGAAUGGAUCAUUCUAGAUCUCUUAGCCUACAUGUCUAGAUUUAAUGUACAAUAUUAGGUAGAUUUCGGAUCAUUAGAUUGUUUCGAUCUUGGCCAUUCAUUGUAGUGGUAGGUGAGCUAGGAUCUCUACAUAAGGAGGAUGUCUCAUUGUACAUCCUCACCCCUUAACUUGUAAAAUAUUGAGUAGGAAUACAAGCAUAUAUUCUCCCAAACUCUCUUGAGCGUUCAUGAGUGUUCUUAUUGUUCUUACUCUUGUUCUUGUGUUCUUGCUUGGUUCGAUCUUAUUUUGUAGGAAAGCUGACUUAGCUUGUUCGAGAGACGAUCAAGUCAAAGGCCGCAUAAAAGGAAUACUCUGAAAAAGUCAUCUUGUGACACUUGAUGGGUUUAAGAAAGUAAGCAAAUAGACAGCAGGUUUAGAUUUGCCAACUAAAUGAAGCACCUCUACUGUUGGACUGUCAAUGGUCUUUAUAUAAUACUAUUUCUAGGCCCACUUGCCAAUUGCCCCCGAAAAAGACUUUCUUUCCCUUCUUUUAAUAAAUAAUCAAUCUUUAUUUCUUUUGCAGAAAUGUUAAGCUUAUGCUCCUAGAUACGAACAUAUCACAGUUUUUCUUGUCAAGAGCAUAGAACACUUAAAUUUAUCUAAUACAUGUGAUUUAUGUGAUGGUGAUAACUUUUCUUAUUGUUUUAACUUGGAUUUUGUUCAACAUCAACAUGUCCCACAUCAGAGGAUAUAACCCCAGUCUUCUAUGGCGGCAAAUUAAACUGUGAUGCUGAAGAGGUCUACACGUUAUUUCGAUUUUUUUUCCAUGGCUACAGAUUAUUUGAUAUUUUUGCUAAUUUGUUUAUGUUAUUAAUAAUUGAAGAAACAUGCAUAAAUGAAGAACCCAGAUCAUUUUGGUCCAAAUAAGCUCAACCAAGCCUUAUCUCUUGGUUCCUCAGUAAAUUUUCCAACUUUUUGAUGAUGGGUUAUAGGAAAUUUGAUCUGUUCAUCUGGGUUUUAUCAGUCUUGUGUUUGGGAUGGUUGUGUAGUGGAUUUAAUCCUGCAGACAUUUACCUUAUAGACUGUGGAUCGCCUGCCAAUACUUCAGUGGGUAACCGUGUCUAUGUAGCAGAUAAUUUGGCUUCAAAAUUUCUUUCAACCCCAAAAGAUGUUGUUGCCAAUAUUUCUUUGAAAUCAAUCACUUCCUUUGAUGAUUCGCCGCUGUAUCAAACGGCAAGAAUCUUUACUGAAUCCUCAAAGUACACCUUUUCCAUAAGCCAGAGUGGGAGACACUGGAUCCGCCUUUACUUCUAUCCAUUUGUUUUUGGUGGUUACGAUUUGAGCAAAGCGAAGUUCUCUGUUUCCACCCAAAACCAUGUUCUCCUUGGUGAUUUCAGUGUUCAAAACGCUUCUCUUGUCAAAGAAUUUUCAGUAAAUGUAACUUCAGAUAGCCUUGUUAUUACCUUCACCCCUUCCAACAAUUCAUUUGCAUUCUUAAAUGCCAUAGAAGUUGUUUCAGUCCCCA